UGUCUCACUACUCCAGGACAGAGAGCCUCUUGGCCACCUCUCACAAACACGGGAUGAUCCCAGUGAGGCUGCACAAGCAGAUUAAUGUGAUUAACUCAGCGAGUGUGAGUGUGGGGAGGGUGAAAAUGGCUGCUGCCAGCCCUGUGCCACCAUUGCCACCUGCUGCCAUCACCUUCAGCUGCCCUUGCCUGAGUCAGGUGCUGUGCCUGCACAGGGGGUGGCCCUGUCUCUAAAAUCUCCUCAGAUUUUGCAUUUAAAAUAAGGGAUAAGUAAGCUUAUAUAGUAAACUAGAUAAGGAAUAAUAGAUCCGAAAAGGAGCCUUCUGGUUUCUGGGUCUGCCCUGCAAAGCAUAAAAUGCAGUAUCAAACAGAAAUGCUUCUAUUGUGCUCUAAUUCACACAAGGUCAAAUUUUCAGGAAAAAGAAGAGGUGCUCACUCAAGUCCUGGUUCAUAAAGGCCAUGAGCACUAGCACACAAAUCUAGACAUUAUCAGCAUGUUAACUUGCUACUUUUCUAAAUAAAAAUAUAUUCUAAUGGCCUAGGUCUUGAUUGUUAGGAAGAGAAUUAAUAAUAGAGAUCUUAUGUUAAAAGUAAGUCUUACAGAAAAUCCCCAGGACUUAUGGAAAGCAUUUGCUUCGUUCAUAGAAGAAGAAAAGAAUGCUGAGGUGAGUUUCCCUCUAAUUCUAUAUCUACAAACAAACGUGCAGUGCUGGGAGUGGCUAGGCAAGUUCGUUAGGUGCUGAUGGAAGAUUUGUUUCACCUGCUCUGAGAACUGAUGGGGGCAGCCUGUGAGUUUUUCCAGCUUCCUCUCUCCUUUCACAAUGCAGGAGGUGUGGCCAGGGUACCCCCAUGCAUUUUGGCAUGGGGAAGAUGAGGGCUGACCUAGUGUGAGCAGAAACUUUUGUGUUGUUUGGUGUAUCUCAGAGGUGCUAAGAUUUAUAACUGUGAGCUGUUGUUUUGGAGUCUGGAGUCUUUGCAAUCACGUGGAGUUCACUGGCAGCAUCCUACCCAUAGCAGGCACCGGAGUGACACCAGGCUUGGGACAGAGCAAGCCUUUGUCUUCCUGUGACUGGAUAGUGUUGGAACCUUUUACCUGAAACAAAAGGUCUGAAUCUCUCAAGGUGUGUUAUGGAAGAGGAACCAGGCAUCUGCUGGGGGAAAGAGAGGAUUACUGGGCCUGCAAAGAAUUCAGUCUGAACAAAAUAUACACAAAAUACAAUUUGCAAGCCAGCUUACAGUGACUUCCUGACCAAUGGACACUGAAGAACCAAACAAAGCAGCACAACGGAACGCAGCAGAUACAGGAAGGUGUUAUUCUAAAGAAUAGGAGAAAGGUAGAGGGAGGAAACAUGAAUAGAACUGGGGAACUGCAGCUUGGUAUGAACUCCGUAGAAGGUAAAUCCAGCGUAAGAACUCUAGACAUUUAUAGUCUCUCUUUAAAAACAUUAGUGGCUCCUCCUGAAUAUACAGUUAUAGAGAUGAAAUCCUGGGAAUAAUGCUUUGUAAUAAAAUGCUUUCUAUGGCAGCCAUCAUCAUGGAAAUAGAAUUUGCUUUUUAUUUUGGAAUAGGAAUAAUCAGAUCUUUGGCAAAAUGGAGUGUCUACUCCCUUUGGCUUUCUAUCAGUUUUCAGCUCUGGUCAGAGGGCCCAUGGAGUAAAUUCGCGGUAUCAUAAAUAAUGACAAAAAUGGAGGUGGGGAAGGGGAAGGUGAGGGGAACUAAAUGAAGUUGCUCCCUGCUGUCACUUCAUACUUUCACACCUCGUGCUCCCAUCUGCUCCUUGAAACGAUGUGCAGCGCAGGGCUCUGCUACCACAUGGCUUGGCCCUUCCUGGCUGCUCUCACUUUGGUAUCAAAUCGUGCUUUCUUCCACAGAUCUGGGGGCUCAGCAGCCAUGGCCUGACUGGGGAGGUGGUAUUUGUCCCUGCAGCUCUCCUGCUUCCCUUUGCUUCCUGGGGAAGCAUGGUAUUUCACCACAGACUACGCUAAGCGAAGGUGUGGAAAGGAAAUAAGGAAUAAGUCCUUAAUGCUCCAUAGGUGGAAGUACGUAACUACUUUUUGAUAAGCGGGAUGUUGAGUUGCAAGAAUUGAAAUAGAUCCUCCUGCCACUUUUUGUUAACAAAGAAUGCCUUCCAUAACCCCAGUUCCCUGAAAUGCUGUGGCAGGGGAGAGUAAGCAAACCUUUGCUUGUGAAUUUGCCAAAAAUAAAGAGGAUUUGAGGGAUCUGGUCCCACAGGCAAGCUCAUUAUUGCAUUAAUCCAGGAUCAUGCAGCGUAGCUCCACUGAUAUCCAUAGUCAGAAUUAGGGCAUUUCCCCUGCUCUCUGCUUCUGGUUCUUGUCUUGGACCUCUCAGCAUUAAGUGAAAAGAACAGUGCAUACUUAUGCUAGGUGCUUUGUUAUUUUCUUUUUAAAUAGCCAGCCUGUCAUGUUUGUCCAAAGCUGUUUAGUAUGAAAUGAAACUGUAGUUAGCAUCACAUAUAAAGGGGCAGUAGUGGAGAUAAAACAAAGAGGAGGUGAGAUUUCUUCCAUGCAACUGUACAACUUCCUGGAGAGCCAGGCAUGUUGCUGGUGAGUGCUGCUGAUAGACCCUUAUGUUGUAUCCCUACAGAAGCUCUGCUCAAAAUGGGGAGACUCAGAGAAGAGGGGUCAAUAGCUGCCAGAUGUUAUCUACAUUGCAUAAAAUCCAACAGUUGUGCUUCUGUGCUGUGGUAAGUUGGUCCUUUUAUACUGAAGGAGAAGGUAUAUAUAUUUUUUAAAUUGAUGGUAUUGCAUCAUUUCUUUAAAGAAUUGUGGAGUUAUCAGACAUUGAGGAAAAAGAGAUCUAUUUGUCUAAUUUCAUAUGCCAUGCUUACCACUAUAAACAGAUCUUCCCAGAAGUGAUUAUAACCAGAAUAUUGAUUAAAUUGCUUGCUUAAGCAUAAUCUUAUCAUACCCUCACAGAAAUAAGAUACAGGAAGGGAAGAAUUGGUUGAAUUUGUUGAAUUAAAAACAAUUUAUCACUGACAAAUAGCAUUUCUAAUUGCUAAAAGUGAAAAUGGCUAAAUUCUGUACGCUCAGUUUCCAACUAAGCUUGCAUACAAGAGCUGGUUAGAAAUGAAGGCUUGCUAUGGUUGGCUUCUUGCACAUUAAAACUGGAUCUGUGCAAGAGUGAAGGUUCUAGUUUUAGUCUGGGAGCACUUUGACGCACAGGAAUGUGUGCUGUUUUUUUUGUGGAAUUCCAGGAAUGAGGUGUAUAAAGGGCCACAACAGAUAGCAGGAACUAUACAGGACUUUCCCCUUCCUGAGAACUUGUUGACUUGUAUGCAAGAAUUGAAGGAUUCAAGGACUGAGUCCAGAGUAUAAAUAUUCCCACUAAUAACAAUGGCUUGGGCAGUCUGAGAGUGGGCCUAAGCUGUAGCAGGAGAUGGCAAAUGCAGGCAGCACACACAGCCGGACCUCUCUACUUGUUAGCCUGUUUGACGCUCAAGUUUCAUACUGGUCCUGCGCUGAGUUCUGAAGUGGAGAUACCAGCACUGAGAUACCACUAUAUUCAGAGCAAAUGGAGAUUACAUAAGGUAACAUGGGGUAUUCAGAGGGGGGAAUUACCUCUUGGGCAAAUGAGAACUCAUUGGUGAAUUUUACAGUAAAGUUAAAGAGAACUUGAAGCUCAAAUUCAAGGUAAAGUACCUUGCUGGGUCAAACCAUGGGUGAAAACUCUGCUUGUCCUCCACAGAAGCCAGCUAUAUUCCAGAUGUAGUGUAUUGUUUUAUUUGUGAUGAGACAAAAGCUGUGUUUGGCAUUUUACAAGAAAAAGUUCUGCCCAGGUCUAUGUAACCCUUUCCCUAAUAAUUUUGUCUGGAUGCUGAAUGAAAUCAAUUAUGAUAAAUGUCUAUUCUAGGAGAGAAUUAAAUCCUAACAUCCUGAUGAAAGCAUGUUAACCAGGAGAUAAAUGUUCUGAUUCAACAGUAGUUGGUUCUAUGCUGCUGUUACCUUGCACAGUGGGCUACAAGGCUAUAAGAAUUGGAAUAUGUUAUGUGAGGGAGAUGCAUGGAGGGGUGCUUUGCACUGCUGGAUGUGUUGGAGUGGUCAGAGCUAGGGACUAGUGCCAAUACUCUUCCCUGGGACCAUUCUGUGCAAGUUCCUUCUCUGGGCAUGAAGCUUGCACUGUGAGGCCUGCAAGCACUGAGCUGGCAGCUUUAGGCCAAGUGGUCCGAAGAAUGAAUGGAGCAAAGCACACAGGCCUACAAAAUGGUGACUUCACACUCAGCAUUUUGCUACUUUGGGGCUUGCUAAUGUCUAUGGCUAAACUAGCAAAAAAAAAAAAAGCC